CCUACGGGUGGCAGCAGUGGGGAAUAUUGGACAAUGGGCGAAAGCCUGAUCCAGCCAUGCCGCGUGUGUGAAGAAGGCCUUCGGGUUGUAAAGCACUUUCAGUGGGGAAGAAAGCCUUUGGGCUAAUACCCUCGAGGAAGGACAUCACCCACAGAAGAAGCACCGGCUAACUCCGUGCCAGCAGCCGCGGUAAUACGGAGGGUGCGAGCGUUAAUCGGAAUUACUGGGCGUAAAGUGCGCGUAGGCGGUCUGAUAAGCCGGUUGUGAAAGCCCCGGGCUCAACCUGGGAACGGCAUCCGGAACUGUCAGGCUAGAGUGCAGGAGAGGAAGGUAGAAUUCCCGGUGUAGCAGUGAAAUGCGUAGAGAUCGGGAGGAAUACCAGUGGCGAAGGCGGCCUUCUGGACUGACACUGACGCUGAGGUGCGAAAGCGUGGGUAGCAAACAGGAUUAGAUACCCCUGUAGUC
rnacentral:rRNA from 1 species